rnacentral:rRNA from 1 species
CUAAUGAGACUGCCGGUGGACAAGCCCGGAGGAAGGUGGGGAUGACGUCAAGUCCUCAUGGCCCUUAUAGUGGGGCUACACACGUCAUACAAUGGCUGGUGCAAAGGGUUGCCAACCCACGAGGGGGAGCCAAUCCCAUAAAGCCAGUCGUAGUCCGGAUCGUAGUCUGCAACUCGACUACGUGAAGUCGGAAUCGCUAGUAAUCGUGGAUCAGAAUGUCACGGUGAAUACGUUCCCGGGUCUU